CCGACCCAACUCCUGCGUGUUUCUUCCUCUUCUUCACUGUUAACGUGAAAUUCGAACGGGAAACCCAGUCCAGCAACCCAGAAUUCCGUCCAAACCAGCUACAAAUCGAUCCAAUUCCGGUCGGGUCGUCCUCUCCUCUCGACGUGUCCAUAUCCGUACAAGGACCGCUCGAGAAUCGUUCGCGUGUCCCCGUCUCUUUUCUCCCUUGUCCUUGCUCGUAAUUGGACGGUUGGAAUGCUUUUCCAGUUGUAGAAUGGGAUAAGAAUGGUACUAUUUACAACUCCACAACCUUGGGAUUCAAAUUUCGAAUUUCUAACACUCCAAAUCUAUCUCGUUUUCCCCUAAAUCAAUUCGUUUUUUCAUCUAUAAAUAACCUCUUUAGCUUUCAUUGAAGGGGUUGGAGAAAUAAAUUGAACAAAAAAGAGGUAUGCAGUUAUUCAUAAUCUACCGAUAGAAAAUAUAACUUAAAAGAGUCACUCUUUCGGUUUCGCUUGCAUUUUUGUGGGGGGUUUUGUUGUUUGAAUCUGAGCUCCUGCAAUAGAAGAAUAGAGGAAGGUCGCUCCCCGCUCGUUCUCGUCUUAUCUCGCUGCUCCGGAGAAGUAACUUCACCUCCUCAUAAAUUAUGUUGUCACUCUAGUUAAGUUAAAUAUUAUUAUAUGUGGAUUUGGUUCAUCAUGUGGUGCGAUUUGAUGAUAUUGAUGACUGCAAUCUAUGGUCUGCUUUUCUUGAUGAAAGAUAUGGGUGUGUAUUGUUUUGAAGUGGUGAAACACGAGGCAGAAUCUCUAAAAAAUAAUCGAUGUGGAUGCGGUGUGCUGUUUCGCUCAUUAUUUGUGGAAUAUGACAAGUUGUUUUCUCCAUUUUGAAUCUCAUGGUUAUCAUAUCUUUCAGUAUGCCUAUUUGAAUUAAGUUCAUAUCUCCAUUUUGUCCAGAUUUUAGUAAAAAAAAUAAAAAUGCUUGCUAUUCGAUGUUGAUCUCUUAAAAUGUGAAGUACUUUCAAAAUGGAUGCUUGCUCCCCUCUUCUGCUUGUCUUGCUUGUUAAUCUGUUUUACAAUAUUGUUUGGCCGGCUUGGUGAUUGAUUGGAAGUAUUCAAUGUCUAUUUGUCGUUCUUAGCGUUAAAAUUGCAGCUUCAGUUUGGGUCACUUAAGUUUCUGCUAAUUGUCUAAUAUUUUGAGACUUAGAAAUCAAAUUUCCAGCAUGUUAUUUUGUUAGUUAAAUAGCAGUAAUCUCAUUUGUUUCAUUUAGUUUACAAAGAUUCCUAAAUAUAGGAUACAUGUUCCAUGGUUUGCGGAAUGAAUUGUAUUAUAGAUUGUAUAUUCUGUUUCUUUUCCUUCAAUUUUUUCCGCACAAUGUAUUGUUUGACAGUGAUUCAUGACUUAGUAUGAUUAUAACCUUUGGUCGGUGUUUGUCUCGUUUUAGUUAUUGCCAAUAUUUGUUGAUAUAAUUCGUAGAUAUUGAUUUAUAUGAAUGUUAAUUUUUUGUUCUCAUUUUGCUACAUGUGAACUUGUAUGGAGUCCGAGUUGGACAAGAAUUCAUUUGCCUUUGCAUUUCGGAUGGACUUAAAGGUCCACCACAUCCACUUUCUUCUCUUUCGAGUCAGCCUCAUUGCUAGUAGAGAAGCAGGUGAAUAGGUCGAAGGCAACAAAUAAAGAUGGAAACUUAAAUUACAGGUUAAAAUGCAGCAGCCAUGGGUCGAGGAAUAAAAGAGGGGUCAGGAACUGAAAAUGCAGGUCGUAAUAGCUCAAAAGAAGGCUUCAUACCUUCGAUAUGCUGCCCGUAUACAUCUAUAUACAACCAUGUAUACGCACCUUGAUUAGGCCUAAUUUCAUUUGGUCAUUUUGAUUCCAACAGGCCCAAUCAGGUAAAGACAAAUGAGCUGAAACCAAUCAAUUUAGAUUAGGACAGGUGAAGGAAGUUGGGCCUGUCAGCCCAGCAACUUAAAAAUUUGGGGAACAGCACAAGUUAUUACACUACUUUCCUUUCUUAUUAUAUUUGAUUAUCUCUUGCUCAACUAAUUUUAUUUGAUUUUGGUUUUGAUAUAAUUAGAUCUCCAAAAGUUAGUCACUU